CACGCUGUAAACGAUGGAUACUAGGUGUAGGGGGCGUAGAGCCUUCUGUGCCGCAGCAAACGCAAUAAGUAUCCCGCCUGGGGAGUACGGCCGCAAGGUUGAAACUCAAAGGAAUUGACGGGGGCCCGCACAAGCAGCGGAGCAUGUGGUUUAAUUCGAAGCAACGCGAAGAACCUUACCAGGGCUUGACAUCCCUUGAAGUGCGUGGAAACACGUACGCCCUUCGGGGCAAGGAGACAGGUGG
rnacentral:rRNA from 1 species